rnacentral:misc_RNA from 1 species
GUGAGAACCCCGUGAGGUGAGGUGAUCUAAUUCUAUAUAGAGCACUUUCGAAGAGUCGAGUUGUUUGGGAAUGCAGCUCUAAGUGGGUGGUAAAUUCCAUCUAAAGCUAAAUACAGGCGAGAGACCGAUAGCGAACAAGUACAGUGAUGGAAAGAUGAAAAGAACUUUGAAAAGAGAGUGAAAAAGGACGUGAAAUUGUUGAAAGGGAAGGGCAUUUGAUCAGACAUGGUGUUUUGUGCCCCUUACUCCUUGUGGGUGAGGGAAUCUCGCAGUUCACUGGGCCAGCAUCAGUUUUGGCGGCAGGAUAAAUCCCUGGGAAUGUGACUUUGCUCUUGUAGUGAAGUGUUAUAGCCCAGGGGAAUACUGCCAGCUGGGACUGAGGUAUGCGACUUUUUUUUUUUGAAGUCAAGGAUGUUGGCAUAAUGGUUAUAUGCCGCCCGUCUUGAAACACGGACCAAGGAGUCUAACGUCUAUGCAAGUGUUUGGGUGUGAAACCCGUACGCGUAAUGAAAGUGAACGGAGGUUGGGACCCCAUUUAUUUGGGGCGCACAAUCGACCGAUCCUGAUGUAUUUCGGAUGGAUUUGAGUAAGAGCAUAGCUGUUAGGACCCGAAAGAUGGUGAACUAUGCCUGAAUAGGGUGAAGCCAGAGGAAACUCUGGUGGAGGCUCGUAGCGGUUCU